rnacentral:rRNA from 1 species
AUGGGUCAACAGAAGAAGGAAAAGCCUGAGUAUGCCAGAUCAGAUACUGAUGUCGAAAGCCAAAGCAAAACCAAGAAGAAGAGAAGGAACAAGAAGAAGAAUGCUUCACCCUCUCCUAGACAAAACCAACACCACAAGCUGCAUGUUGCCCUGCUAUCGCUCUGUGUGACGGCAUGUGACAAAUUACACCUUGAUCUCGAUGCAAUUUCAAUGGGAGAAGGAAGAGAUCAGGCUACAGAUCCAAGAGAAUCUGUUACGUUCAGCCUUGCGAUGAAAAUGGUGCGGUUAAACAGGGAUAUUAUAACCCCCGAUAGCCUGACAGCAAUGAAGCUUACCACUAGGAUGGUGAUAGCAGCAAUGAGGAAACUCGGGGGCAACGGCGCCGGUGUCGACCGAGCUAAUCUCGAGAGCCUCAUGGACUCCCUGUCUAGUGUUUCAGAGACCAUGUUGGAUCUAGAGGGAUGCAUGGUUUUCGCUACCGAGACGACCACGACAAAACCUGCCACUAUCGACACCCUCAGCUCCCUCGUGAAACAAGCACGGCAACUUCACGGAGAAAUUAAGGGCCAAGACUCAGAAAUAGUGACAGCUAGCUAG